GACGAACGCUGGCGGCGUGCUUAACACAUGCAAGUCGAACGGUAAGGCCCUUCGGGGUACACGAGUGGCGAACGGGUGAGUAACACGUGGGUGAUCUACCCUGCACUUCGGGAUAAGCCUGGGAAACUGGGUCUAAUACCGGAUAGGACUCCUGGCUUCAUGGUUGGGGGUGGAAAGCUUUUGCGGUGUGGGAUGGGCGCGCGGCCUAUCAGCUUGUUGGUGGGGUAAUGGCCUACCAAGGCGACGACGGGUAGCCGGCCUGAGAGGGUGACCGGUCACACUGGGGCUGAGAUACGGCCCAGACUCCUACGGGAGGCAGCAGUGGGGAAUAUUGCACAAUGGGCGCAAGCCUGAUGCAGCGACGCCGCGUGAGGGAUGACGGCCUUCGGGUUGUAAACCUCUUUCAGCUAUGACGAAGCGCAAGUGACGGUAGUAGCAGAAGAAGGACCGGCCAACUACGUGCCAGCCGCCGCCGUAA
rnacentral:rRNA from 1 species